rnacentral:snRNA from 1 species
GCACCCCUAUGGGGUAGCAUACGAUAAACUUGGAACGAUACAGAGAAGAUUAGCAUUUGCCCCUGCACAAGGACGGAUAUUUGAUCAGAAAAGGCGUUGCUUCGGCAACAAAUAUGUUUUU